CUUCUUGCUUCGGCAGAACAUAUACUAAAAUUGGAACGAUGCAGAGAAGAUUAGCAUGCUUCCUAGGUAUACAAACAGAUUAUUGACGUUUUCGACGAUCUU